UGAGGAAUUUUGCGCAAUGGGGGAAACCCUGACGCAGCAACGCCGCGUGAGUGAUGAAGGCUUUCGGGUCGUAAAGCUCUGUCAAGUGGGAAGAACCUGUUUCGUGCUAAUACCACGAAGCACUGACGGUACCACUGAAGGAAGCACCGGCUAACUCCGUGCCAGCAGCCGCGGUAAUACGGGGGGUGCUAGCGUUAUUCGGAAUCAUUGGGCGUAAAGGGCGCGUAGGCGGUCGCUUAAGUCAGAUGUGAAAGCCCUCGGCUUAACCGAGGAAGUGCAUUUGAUACUAAGCGACUUGAGUAUGGGAGAGGGAAGCGGAAUUCCUGGUGUAGCGGUGAAAUGCGUAGAUAUCAGGAGGAACACCGGUGGCGAAGGCGGCUUCCUGGACCAAUACUGACGCUGAGGCGCGAAGGCGUGGGGAGCAAACAGG
rnacentral:rRNA from 1 species